CUCCCAGGGGUCCCGGUGGGCGGGCGCGCUAGGGCGAGGGCGGGGACGGCCGGGCGGGCGCGCCAGGCUACACACAACCCAGCUGUACCAGCAUGUGCCAGAGACACGCUGGCCAAUCGUGUACUCGCCGCGCUACAACAUCACCUUCAUGGGCCUGGAGAAGCUGCAUCCCUUUGAUGCCGGAAAAUGGGGCAAAGUGAUCAAUUUCCUAAAAGAAGAGAAGCUUCUGUCUGACAGCAUGCUGGUGGAGGCGCGGGAGGCCUCGGAGGAGGACCUGCUGGUGGUGCACACGAGGCGCUAUCUUAAUGAGCUCAAGUGGUCCUUUGCUGUUGCUACCAUCACAGAAAUCCCCCCCGUUAUCUUCCUCCCCAACUUCCUUGUGCAGAGGAAGGUGCUGAGGCCCCUUCGGACCCAGACAGGAGGAACCAUAAUGGCGGGGAAGCUGGCCGUGGAGCGAGGCUGGGCCAUCAACGUGGGGGGUGGCUUCCACCACUGCUCCAGCGACCGUGGCGGGGGCUUCUGUGCCUAUGCGGACAUCACGCUCGCCAUCCAGUUUCUGUUUGAGCGUGUGGAGGGCAUCUCCAGGGCUACCAUCAUUGAUCUUGAUGCCCAUCAGGUGAGUGCCCUGCAGGGGCUGAACUCUUGGGGGACCUGCCAACCCCAGUUCCAGAAUCUCCCUGGGGCAGGAGAGUCUCCCUCCUCAUGUCCCCACGGCUCUCACGGCUUCUGUCUUCUGUCUCUCGGGCUACAAAUGCAGGGUCUGUCUUUGUCGCUCUGUCCAGGACAGCGGGUUGUCCUCAUUGCUCCCGAGGGUCCUCCCUCCCUCCUCCUGACUGCCCCCACAUGAGGCUCUUCCUGAAGCCCACUCUGAUGGGACUGCUCUCGUGUGCAGAGCUCUGCUGUGGGCGCCAUUGCUUACGAAUAAUUUGGGGCACUGCACCCUGCCCAGAGCUGCUGAGCACUGGCCACCUGCCUCUCAGGUGGAUGCCCACACACAUGGCUUGGCUCAGGCACCUGGGGUCACCAUUUAAGAACUCGGCGCCUAGGGAGUAAAGUGUCAGAGCAGAGGGUUACCUCCUCCUCAGGACCCCUAAUGAGGCCAGUGCCUCUGGUCAGACAGGGAGGGGACCCGGUGGGCUCCGGAAGGCACCCCCCACACCAUUACUGCUGUGGCUUUGUGCUAGUUGGGGCCCUGCCUUGGGUUCUUGUGACCCCGAAAUCCUGAGCCAGGUCACAUGUGGACAGUCCUUUACAGUUUGCUUUUCACAU
rnacentral:sRNA from 1 species